CAGAUCACGUAGGGUGUUAAUCGUUGAACAAACGAACCUUUGACAGCAGUUGCACCGUCUGGGUACCCUGAUCCAACAUCGAGGUCGUAGAUCUUCUUGUUAAUAUGGACUUUUUGAGAAGGUGGCGCUGUUAUCCCUGGGGUAGCUUAUUUCAUUAAUCAGUGUGACAGGAUCAUAGCGUGUCUUAGACUUGUGGGUCUUGGUGGGUGGUAGAGGUUGAUUUUUCCUACAGUUGUCCCAACUAAAAUUAUUGUUUAGUUCGUGUAAACAGGUUUUAAAAGUUCCACAGGGUCUUUUCGUCUUGCUUGUUGAUGUCAGCUUUUGUACUGACAGUUCAAUUUCAUUGGCUAACCCUAGGAGACAGGUUUUCUCUCGUGCUGCCUUUCAUACGGGUCCCCAUUUAGAGGACAAGUGAUUGUGCUACCUUUGCACGGUUUUGGUUCCGCGGCCGUUUAGGGUUACCACAGGGCAGGCGCUACUUUUAAUGGGUGUGGGGCUAAAAGCUAUGUUUUU
rnacentral:rRNA from 1 species